rnacentral:tRNA from 1 species
GGCCGCCUGGCGAAAUGGCAUCGCGUCUGACUACGAUGAGGAUUUACUUCGAAAUCAGGAGAUUGCAGGUUCGACCCCUGCGGUGGUCA